rnacentral:tRNA from 1 species
GCCUUUGUGGUGUAGUGGUCAGCACGCCCGACGGAUAACCGCGAGGUCCGUGGUUAAAUUCCCGGCGAGGGCG